UCGCCGCGGUAAUACCAGCCCCUCGAGUGGUGGGGGACGUUUAUUUGGCCUAAAAGCGUCCGUAGCCGGCUUGAUAAGUCACCCGUUAAAAUCCAGCGUCACAAGCGUUGGACUGCGAGUGAUACUGUCAAGCUAGAGGGGUGGGAGAGGUCAGCGGUAUUCCCAGGGUAGGGCGAAAUCCUUUGAUCCUGGGAGGACCACCAGUGGCGAAGGC
rnacentral:rRNA from 1 species